rnacentral:rRNA from 1 species
CUCCAGUUGACCGCAUGGUCCUCUGUGAAAGCUUUUGCGGUAUGGGAUGGGGUCGCGUCCUAUCAGCUUGAUGGCGGGGUAACGGCCCACCAUGGCUUCGACGGGUAGCCGGCCUGAGAGGGCGACCGGCCACAUUGGGACUGAGAUACGGCCCAGACUCCUACGGGAGGCAGCAGUGGGGAAUAUUGCACAAUGGGCGCAAGCCUGAUGCAGCGACGCCGCGUGCGGGAUGACGGCCUUCGGGUUGUAAACCGCUUUUGACUGGGAGCAAGCCCUUCGGGGUGAGUGUACCUUUCGAAUAAGCACCGGCUAACUACGUGCCAGCAGCCGCGGUAAUACGUAUGGUGCAAGCGUUAUCCGGAAUUAUUGGGCGUAAAGGGCUCGUAUGCGGUUCGUCGCGUCCGGUGUGAAAGUCCAUCGCUUAACGGUGGAUCCGCGCCGGGUACGGGCGGG